AGUGAACGCUGGCGGUAGGCCUAACACAUGCAAGUCGAACGGCAGCACAGUAAGAGCUUGCUCUUACGGGUGGCGAGUGGCGGACGGGUGAGGAAUACAUCGGAAUCUACUUUUUCGCGGGGGAUAACGUAGGGAAACUUACGCUAAUACCGCAUACGACCUACGGGUGAAAGCAGGGGAUCUUCGGACCUUGCGCGAUUGAAUGAGCCGAUGUCGGAUUAGCUAGUUGGCGGGGUAAAGGCCCACCAAGGCGACGAUCCGUAGCUGGUCUGAGAGGAUGAUCAGCCACACUGGAACUGAGACACGGUCCAGACUCCUACGGGAGGCAGCAGUGGGGAAUAUUGGACAAUGGGCGCAAGCCUGAUCCAGCCAUACCGCGUGGGUGAAGAAGGCCUUCGGGUUGUAAAGCCCUUUUGUUGGGAAAGAAAAGCAGCAGGUUAAUACCCCGCUGUUCUGACGGUACCCAAAGAAUAAGCGCCGGCUAACUUCGUG
rnacentral:rRNA from 1 species